rnacentral:tRNA from 2 species
GCCUGGCUAGCUCAACGGCAGAGCGCCCGCCCGACACGCGGGAGGCACGGGGGUCGGCACCCCGGUCAGGUA